AUUGAACGCUGGCGGCAGGCCUAACACAUGCAAGUCGAACGAGUGGCGGACGGGUGAGUAAUGUCUGGGAAACUGCCUGAUGGAGGGGGAUAACUACUGGAAACGGUAGCUAAUACCGCAUACCAUCGGAUGUGCCCAGAUGGGAUUAGCUAGUAGGUGGGGUAAAGGAUCACCUAGGCGACGAUCCCUAGCUGGUCUGAGAGGUGGACCAGCCACACUGGAACUGAGACACGGUCCAGACGUCUACGGGAGGCAGCAGUGGAGAAUAUGUCGUGAUGGGCGCGUGCCUGAUGCAGCCAUGCCGCGUGUAUGAAGAAGGCCUGCGGGUUGUAAAUUACUUUCAGCGGGGAGGCGUUACCCGCAGAAGAAGCACCGGCUAACUCCGUGCCAGCAGCCGCGGUAAUU
rnacentral:rRNA from 1 species